rnacentral:rRNA from 1 species
UUAUAUGAGAGUUUGAUCCUGGCUCAGGACGAACGCUGGCGGCAUGCCUAAUACAUGCAAGUCGAACGCACGAAGUUGAAAAGCUUGCUUUUCGACCAAGUGAGUGGCGGACGGGUGAGUAACACGUGGGUAACCUGCCCAUAAGAGGGGGAUAACAUUCGGAAACGGAUGCUAAUACCGCAUAUUUCAAAUGACCGCAUGGUCGCUUGAUGAAAGGUGGCUUCGGCUGCCGCUUAUGGAUGGACCCGCGGUGCAUUAGUUAGUUGGUGAGGUAAUGGCUCACCAAGACAAUGAUGCAUAGCCGACCUGAGAGGGUGAUCGGCCACACUGGGACUGAGACACGGCCCAGACUCCUACGGGAGGCAGCAGUAGGGAAUCUUCCGCAAUGGACGAAAGUCUGACGGAGCAAUGCCGCGUGAGUGAAGAAGGUUUUCGGAUCGUAAAACUCUGUUGUUAGAGAAGAACAAGGAUGAGAGUA